GACGAACGCUGGCGGCGUGCUUAACACAUGCAAGUCGAACGGAAAGGCCCUUCGGGGUACUCGAGUGGCGAACGGGUGAGUAACACGUGGGUGAUCUGCCCUGCACUUUGGGAUAAGCCUGGGAAACUGGGUCUAAUACCGAAUAGGACCACGCGCUUCAUGGUGUGUGGUGGAAAGCUUUUGCGGUGUGGGAUGGGCCCGCGUCCUAUCAGCUUGUUGGUGGGGUAAUGGCCUACCAAGGCGACGACGGGUAGCCGGCCUGAGAGGGUGACCGGCCACACUGGGACUGAGAUACGGCCCAGACUCCUACGGGAGGCAGCAGUGGGGAAUAUUGCACAAUGGGCGCAAGCCUGAUGCAGCGACGCCGCGUGAGGGAUGACGGCCUUCGGGUUGUAAACCUCUUUCAAUAGGGACGAAGCGCAAGUGACGGUACCUAUAGAAGAAGCACCGGCCAACUACGUG
rnacentral:rRNA from 1 species